GGGGAAUAUUGCACAAUGGGGGAAACCCUGAUGCAGCGACGCCGCGUGAAGGACGAAGUAUUUCGGUAUGUAAACUUCUAUCAGCAGGGAAGAAAAUGACGGUACCUGACCAAGAAGCCCCGGCUACCUACGUGCCAGCAGCCGCGGUAAUACGUAGGGGGCAAGCGUUAUCCGGAUUUACUGGGUGUAAAGGGAGCGUAGACGGUGAUGCAAGUCAGAAGUGAAAGCCCGGGGCUCAACGCCGGGACUGCUUUUGAAACUGUGUAACUGGAGUGCAGGAGAGGUAAGCGGAAUUCCUAGUGUAGCGGUGAAAUGCGUAGAUAUUAGGAGGAACACCAGUGGCGAAGGCGGCUUACUGGACUGUAACUGACGUUGAGGCUCGAAAGCGUGGGGAGCAAACAGG
rnacentral:rRNA from 1 species